CAGUGUGUCCCACUCUGUCUCCAGCAGUGGCCACAUGGGCCUCCCAGCCACUUUGGAGGAGAGGGAGGUGCUGGACACCAAAGAUGUGAUCACCAAGAGGGCAGGGAGGCCCCUCCAUAUCUCCCUACUCCAGCACCCCCUGGUGACCUACCCCAGGCUGCUGUGACCCCAUGAGCAACCACGGGACAACAGUGACAUCUAUGAGAAUGUGCCACGACACUGAGGAGAAGGGGGACACUGGGGCACUGGAGGCACUGGGUUUCCUCCUCCACAGCUCGUGUGCUUUCCCAUCCUGUUUGGGAGCAGGUCACAACUUCUGGGGGGGCUGCACAAGCACCAAGUGCUCCCCAUUCCCCACCCCAAGUACCAUGAGGGGUUCCCCUGUCCCACUCCCAGUACCCCAGGUGCUCCCCACUCUCCCUCCCAGUGCUCCCAGUAUUCCCAGGGGCUCCUUACUCCUCUUCCCACUGCCUCUCUAUUUCUUCCAGAGAAUCCAGGGGCUCCCCAUUCCCCCCAUCAGUACCCCUAUGAUCCUAGGGGCUCCCCCAUUCCUCCUUCCAGUACCCCAUCUUGGUUUAGAGAAAAAUUUCGGAGAAAAUGCUGUGGAAUGAGUGUUUCCUCUAAAGAGAAGGGCUUCAGUAAUCCCUUUUGCCAAUGAAAAAAAUGAAUGCCAGUGAGUGAAAGUGGAA